GCCCGGCUAGCUCAAUCGGUAGAGCGUGAGAUUCUUAAUCUCAAGGUUGUGGGUUCGACCCGUAAGCUUCACC